rnacentral:rRNA from 1 species
GACGUAGGGCGCGAGCGUUGUCCGGAUUUAUUGGGCGUAAAGAGCUCGUAGGCGGCUUGUCACGUCGUUCGUGAAAACUUGGGGCUCAACCCCCAGCCUGCAGUGGGUACGGGCAGACUAGAGUGCGGUAGGGGAGAUUGGAAUUCCUGGUGUAGCGGUGGAAUGCGCAGAUAUCAGGAGGAACACCAAUGGCGAAGGCAGAUCUCUGGGCCGUAACUGACGCUGAGGAGCGAAAGCAUGGGGAGCGAACAGG